UUUAUCCGUCCUAAACUCGGAGAAUCUCCCAGAUAUUUAUCCGUCCUAAACUUGGAGAGCUGAUGAAUUGUAAAUUUGCUGCAUCAGAUUGGAAAUUGCAGGUAUCCACCCAUCGCUACAGUUUCAUAGUUCGUCACGUUGACCUCAUCUAAAUUGGAGAGAUACAAAUCGCUACAUAUGAUGAGAUCUAAAAGCCGCCUAGAUUGGAGAGCUACAGAUGAAGGAAAAAUUCACAUCAGCUGUAAAUCACCUAAAUUUUCAACUCAAGCUCUAUCAGAUGCAUCAAUUUUUGCUAAAAAGACCCAUAUUGGCGUGUCGUCUAACGUAUGUCUUCUUACCCUUUCAUCCUCUCUUUGUCCAAAUAAUUGUUUGUGUUGCUUGUUUCCUCUUUUUGUCCAAAUAAUUGCAUGUGUUGCUUGUUUUGUGCUGAGGUAGGUAUUGUGUAGACUCCGAUGCUUGUUCCAAUUUUUGCACUUUUUUUUUUAUUUUCUAUGUUUAUAUUAAAUAAAAUGAUUUUAUGGCAUAUCCAAUCUUUAAAAAUUAGUUAAAAUUCUUUUGGACUCAAUUUGUAUUUUAUAGUUCAAGAAAAUAAUAUAAGAAUCUGCUUUAUUUUUUGUAAAAAUAGUCCAAAUAAAAAAAAUUGCCGCUAAAAUAAUCCACCUCCCAAAAAUAUAGAGCUAUACUCGCGCCAUUAUUCAGUUUUUUUCUUUCUCCAAAUGUUGCCCACGUUCACACUUCAUGUAAAAAAAAAUUCCAAAUACAGUCACCUGCAAUUCAUCUACCACGUUUGAAUUAUCAGUUCCUCAAUCCUUUCGGCUAAACAGUAUGUAUUCUUUAUCAUAUUUAUUUUCCUAUUUUGUAUGAUUUGAUUAAUUGUACCACGUUUGAAUUAUCAGUUCCUCAAUCCUUUCGGCUAAACAGUAUGUAUUCUUUAUCAUAUUUAUUUUCCUAUUUUGUAUGAUUUGAUUAAUUGUAAUUCUUCUGACAUAUUUAUUUUCUGGAAUAAAUAAGAUCGAAUAUACACAUCUGUUUUUGAAUUCCCUUGAUAAGAGGAUUUGCCUAAUUAAGAUAGUUGUGAGGUUGGUUUGCAUGUUUCUUCUCCCAACCUGAAAAAGCUAUAAAUCAAUAGGGCUAACAACAUAAUACUUCUCAUUACCUUCAUAUGUUGAGUUACAUGUUUUACGAAGUUUUGAUUAAACUAACCUACUAAAAAAGAAAGAAAAGAAGCUUGAGUCGAAUUAUUUGUCCUUCUAGCUUGAUUAUAAAUUGCACCCUUUUAACUAUUCAAAGAUUUUAUAAUUGCAAUGCUAUAAAAUUAGUUGCAUCUACAUAUGUUUUCUUUUACUGUUUUAAGAUUUUUUAAGUUGACAGAGUCAAAUAUUUCAGUUUUCAAUAUUUAGGAAUGAUAUCAGUUAGCUAUUUAUUUGAAUAGGACUUUGUUGGAGUUAUUUUAGGAGAAAAGGUUAUUAUUUAGUUAAUGUAUACAACCUACAUACCUACUGUAAAAAAGAGUUCCAGUUUAAAUUUCAAACAAAUAACAUUCUUCUCUGUUUCAUUUUCUGUCAUACUGUAAAUUUCUUCUUUUCAAUUCUCUGUGAGCUUUUAUUUCACUAUUUGCCCUUCUCACAUUAUCAGAAAAGAAGUUUAUAAGUAAAAUGAGUUCAAAUCGUCAAUGGAUGUACAAAAGAUUAACCAAAGGUCUAUAUGAUCCUGAAUUCUUAAGAGGUGUACAAUAAUUUAUUGAGUUCGCUAUGAGUCAUCCAGAAGGAAGGGAUGGUGAGAGAUUAAGGUGCCCAUGUAACCGAUAGAAAUGUCAGAAUAGAAACUUUGAAAAUGUUCAUACUGUCCAUGGGCAUUUAUUAAAAGAAGGUUUUGUACCGGGAUAUCAUGUAUGGUAUUUGCAUGGAGAAAGUGAAGUUGCAGAAACUAUAGAUCAAGAUGAAAGAAUGCACAACUGGGAACAUACUAUGAAUAACCUACCGGUUGAUGUUAGUGAAUUUGAUGAUCCUGGACCUAGUACGUCUUAUCAUAGAAUGGUUCAUGAGGCUGCUAGUCCCGCAUUUGUUCCAGAUGAUAUGGAGGAAUUACCUAAUCCUGAUGCCCAACAUUUUUAUGAUAUGCUUGAUUCUGCAAAUCAAGAAGUAUGGCCUGGUUGUGAAACACACUCAAAAUUAUCAGUUGUUGCUUGUUUGUUGCAUAUCAAGGCUGAACAUCACCUCUCUGAAAGAUGUUUUGAUGAUAUUUGUCAAUAUGUGAAUGAGAUGAUUCCGCCUGAUAAUGUGAUGCCAAAAACAUUCUAUGAAACUAAAAAGUUAAUGAGGGGAAUGAACAUGCCAGUUGAAAAAAUUCAUACUUGUGUCAAUGCCUGCAUGAUUUACUGGGGAGAGGAUAGUGAACUUGUAAAUUGCAAGUUUUGUAGUCAUCCCAGGUAUAAGCUUACAAGUCAAAGAUCUAUUUAGAAGAAAAAUCUUGUACCAUUCAAACAGAUGUAUUACUUUCCUUUUACUCCACGACUGCAACGAAUGUAUGCUUCCACAGCAACUGCUUCACACAUGCGAUGGCACGCUGAACAUGAAGUUGAGGAAGGUGUGAUGCGUCACUGUUCAAAUGCACCUGCAUGGAAGCAUUUUGAUAAGAUGCAUCCAUCUUUUUCAGAGGAAAGUCGUAAUGUUAGAUUGGGACUGUCCACUGAUGGGUUUCAGCCAUUUGGUCAAAUAGGAAAGCAAUAUUCAUCUUGGCCAAUAAUUGUGACACCAUACAACUUACCUCCUUGGAUGUGUAUGAAAGAUACAUAUUUAUUUUUAUCUAUUAUAGUUUCUGGACCAAAGAAUCCUAAGCAGCAACUAGAUGUCUUCUUGCUGCCUUUGAUUGCUGAGUUGAAGAACCUAUGGAAUGUAGGUGUCAACACAUAUGAUAUCUCUAAGAAGCAAAAUUUUCAAAUGCGAGCUGCUUUGAUGUGGACAAUAAGUGACUUUCCUGCAUAUUCGAUGUUGUCUGGAUGGAGUACUGCAGGCAGGCUAGCAUGUCCAUAUUGUAUGGAGAAUUCUGAUGCUUUUACUUUGACAAAAGGUGGUAAGAAGUCCUGGUUUGACAACCACCGUAAGUUUCUGCCACUUAAUCAUCCAUACAGAAAGGAUAAGAACUCAUUUAGAAAGAACAGGGUAGUAACCAUGCUGCCUACCCCAUUAAGAUCAGGAGAAGAUGUCUUAAAAGAGAUAGAAGAACUAGGACUUAAAAAGGUAACAGAACUUGGGGCUGAUAUUAUUAAUAGUCAGAUUAGUAAGUUUUCUGGUUGGAAGAAGAGAAGCAUAUUCUGGGAUUUGCCAUAUUGGAGUACCAAUCUCAUUCGGCAUAAUCUAGAUGUAAUGCACAUUGAGAAGAACUUCUUUGAGAAUGUGUUCAACACAGUGCUGGAGGUAGAUGGUAAAACAAAAGAUAAUCCCAAAUCAAGAGAAGACUUGAAAGAGUUCUGUCGACGCCCUGAAUUACAUGCUGUUGAUGGGAAGUAUCCGAAAGCUAUUUACACACUGAAAGAAGAGUAAAAAAAAUUGUUGUGUGAAUGGGUGAAAAAUAUAAUGUUUCCUGAUGGAUAUGUCUCAAUUAUGGGAAGGUGUGUGGACAUGAAAAAACACAAGUUAUUCGGUAUGAAAAGUCACGAUUGUCAUGUAUUUAUGCAAAGAUUGGUACCUGUUGCAUUCCGUGAGCUAUUACCCAAAAAAGUGUGGGAAGCACUUACUGAGAUGAGCCUUUUCUUUAGGGAUAUCACUUCUACAGUAAUUCGUGAAGAGGAUAUGGUAAGACUACAACAAAAAAUACCUGAAAUACUUUGUAAAUUAGAGCGUGUAUUCCC
rnacentral:lncRNA from 1 species